rnacentral:rRNA from 1 species
UACGUAGGUGGCGAGCGUUGUCCGGAAUUACUGGGUGUAAAGGGCGUGUAGGCGGGUCUUCAAGUCAGAUGUGAAAUACCCGGGCUCAACUUGGGGGGUGCAUUUGAAACUGGAGAUCUUGAGUGCAGGAGAGGAAAGCGGAAUUCCUAGUGUAGCGGUGAAAUGCGUAGAUAUUAGGAGGAACACCAGUGGCGAAGGCGGCUUUCUAAGGCUGUAACUGACGCUGAGGCGCGAAAGCGUGGGGAGCAAACAGGAUUAGAUACCCUGGUAGU